rnacentral:misc_RNA from 1 species
GAUUAAUACCAUUGUGAGGUAGCUGCCAGUGCAAAUCGAACAUACAAAGUAUAUGGCAGAUUAAAUUCACACCAGCAACAGCCAUUCUUUCCGUUGAUCUCGAAUCCAACCAAAGUACAGUUAACGGCCAUGAAGCAAAGUCUGUGGCGCAUUUAGCAACGUGCAUCACCGAUGGUACACAGCUAACCGAUCCUGUGUUGAAGACCAAACAUGUCGUCGGUGGUAUACCGGUCUGGUCGAACAUCAUAUCGCCACUAGACAAAAGAAAUAAGAUAUUUAAUGAUUAACAGACGAUACUUACAAACGAACGAUAAAUUUACGAACG